rnacentral:rRNA from 1 species
UAGGGAAUCUUCCGCAAUGGGCGAAAGCCUGACGGAGCAACGCUGCGUGAGUGAUGAAGGUCUUCGGAUCGCAAAACUCUGUUAUUAGGGAAGAACAAAUGUGUAAGUAACUAUGCACGUCUUGACGGUACCUAAUCAGAAAGCCACGGCUAACUACGUGCCAGCAGCCGCGGUAAUACGUAGGUGGCAAGCGUUAUCCGGCAUUAUUGGGCGUAAAGCGCGCGUAGGCGGUUUUUUAAGUCUGAUGUGAAAGCCCACGGCUCAACCGUGGAGGGUCAGUGGAAACUGGAAAACUUGAGUGCAGAAGAGGAAAGUGGAAUGCCAUGUGUAGCGGUGAAAUGCGCAGAAAUAUGGAGGAACGCCAGUGGCGAAGGCGACUUUCUGGUCUGUAACUGACGCUGAUGUGCGAAAGCGUGGGGAUCAAACAGG